GUAUUUAUAGCGGAUAUUCCCCUUCCAGGUUCUCAUUCUCGGCUUGGACAAACUUUGCUGGUAGCUAUCAAGACUGUUAUGCUCAAGAUGGUGCCAAAGAAGUUGUGCAGAAUCGCCACAUGCAGACGCAUGCUCAAGGAUAGGAUUUUUUGACCUGGAAAUGAUGGCUCAAGUGCAUGAGGCACCUCCAAGAGCAGGACUGAGCCGUACGACGGGGGAGGUGACCGGACCAUGUCAGCGUUGGUGAACCCUGACGGGGCUUCCUGAUUGGGUGAUGCUCUUGCAGGGAGAAGUGAACCAGGCCCCUCCAGAGAAGGUCCGAGCCGUAAGAUGGUGGGGGUGGUGACCAGACCAUGUCAGUGUUGGUGAACAGUGACGGGGAUUCCUGAUUGGGUGUUGCCCUGGCAGGAAGAAGUGAACCAGGCCCCUCCAGAGAAGCAGGUCCUGUUGCACCACCUGUUCCCAGGACCCACCCUGUAGGACCCACCCUGUAGGACCCACCCUGUAGGACCCACCCUGUAGGACCCACCCUGUAGGGCCUCCUGGUACGGGCUGUUUGGAGCUCCAUGAUGUCUAAGCCGGCCCGUGGCGACCUCAGCAUCUGAAUUGUGAAACUUUUCAAUAAAACAUGACAAAAAAAACUA